rnacentral:lncRNA from 1 species
AUCUCUUAUAUUCUCAUCAUUAACUACCUCAUCAAUAUUAUUUCCUUUUAUCUUGUCACCAGGUUUUCCCUUCUUCUUGAUCUUACAAAUUACGAAACCUUUGUUCUUAAUCUCCCUAGCAGGCAGAUAACGAUCAAACAAAGAGUACUCAGUCAUCAACCAUUCGCCGUUCACGUUGUUUGACGAUUUGUUAGCGGGGAUGUACUUCAAACUUUUCACGUAUCCCAUGAGUCUUCC